UGCUGUCCACACAGAGGUCUUGUCCAUAAGAUGGCCGCUGAUGGCCUACUCUUUAAAUAUUCUUAUUAUAACAACGAUUUUGGGCAUUCUGCAUACUUUGAAGGACGCCUACCUCAACAGCAGAGUUUUGUAUAUUUAUAUUAUAUUUAAAAAAAAUGAAUAGCAAGCCAUGCAUGGGACUCCUUUAGAAUUUACAUUAGUAUCACCUGAUAAUACUUGAUUCUCUUCCAGUUUUCAUACAAAAUGUGUUGUCAUUACCAUGGAGUUGUGGAAGCAUUUUCAUGGCUGCUACAGUAUAUACACUAUACAUGGCAUCUGAUUGGCACAUGCUGUACAAUACUAUUUCUUGGCUGAGGGUUUCUAGAACAAUAUUUUCAAUGCUUUGUAUUAGUAGUAAUAUAUUUUUGCCUCAUAUGAAGACGCUACUAAUGUUUUGUAGCACAUUCUGACUGUUAUUUUAUAGACUUUAUAUUGGUGUACAUUGUAUAUUAUUUUGAAAU